CUCAUGCUUUUUGCUUUUUAGCUAAGAUAAAGUGUAAUAUUUAUCCUUAUCAUUUUAAUAUCUGGUACGUGGAUCAUAUGUUUACUUUUUAUUAGUAUUUUUUAUGGGGAGAGUCUGAUAGGGAAUGGCCUACCUCAACCAAU
rnacentral:snRNA from 1 species